CGCUGCCUGCGGUGUUCGACACGGGUCGUGGGUACCUCUCGGCCUUAAUGCUUGAAACCCGGGGCGUUACGUCAGUUGCAGCAUUGUGCAGGUCCGUCUUCGAGCGGAAAGCCUUAAGUGCAGCGGCGUGCCCCACUUGUUGCUCUGGUCCGAGAGCAACCGACCCGUGACGGCACAGGCGGGUAGCGC
rnacentral:other from 1 species